rnacentral:tRNA from 1 species
AGUCCUGAGGUGUUCCACAUAUUAGAUUGCAAAUCUUAAGUAGCAGGUUUACGUCUGCCGGGGCUU